GGAUCUGCAACUGAGAAUGGAAAAGAAAGAAGAGUGUACACUAGUAGGCAGCUCCCUGGGACCUGUGUCUGAUCACAGCCCACAUUCAGCGGGAGGGACCUUCCAAGGCAAGAUCUAAAGUGGCGAUAGCACAGAAAGAAACAGAAGCCUUCUGAGAAGCUCCUUUUGUCUUUCAUAAGUGAAGUGGAAGAACCAGGACUGGACAGAUGGAGAAAUUGAACUGUGAUGCAAUUGAAACAAAGGCCUCAGCUGAUCCCUGGGGGAGCACUGGAGCAGGAAGGCCCCUCAGAGUUAUCCUGAAUUGAGGCAAAGAGGCCGGUCCUUUCAACUUUCCUGGCCCCAACAUCAGUCAGUCAUUGAAUGCAGGCUGCCCCUAGGGAGAAGGCACAGACUUAGGCAAGGCAGCUCCCUUUGGCAGAAGACAAAGCCCAGAGAAAGAGGGAACUCCUGGAGACAAAACUGGCUGUCUUUUUCGGCAACCAACACUCCUAGCUGUCAACAGACAGAAUGAGCCCAUAAAAGUGGGGCGGGUGGGGGGGUGUGGGCAGCAGCCACUGAGGAUCUAUCCCCAGCUUUGCCACCAGCAAGUGAACCCGAACAACCCACUCAGCUUUCCUAAGUUUUCGUUUCCUUAUAUGGAUGUAAGGGAAGCAGAAGAGCCAAGUUCUACCUGAUAUACUUUGCAUUCUGACUUUUUAUUUUAAGAAUUAUUCUAAUUUUCUGUUUCAUUUGCAGUUUUGAAAAUGAUAUUUUCAAGACAGGGCAAAGAGGAGAGAAUCAGAUGGGAAUAUUUUCUGAUUUUCAUAAAAACAGAUGGUUCUAUCUAUGCACUGCUUCAUUUAAAAUAACCUCAAAGUCAGUAUUUAGUUUCCAUAAGCUGAGGAUUUCUGACUUUCUUUUAUCACUCCGCAUCUUCACAAGGUUUCUUGGUUUUAUUAUGCUGCCUGGCUUUGUCACUGUGCUGUGGAAUCCAUUGCUUUAUUUUACGAUCCUAAGUUGUAUCUAUUCACCUUUAAACACACAUACACACGAAGACCAAUUUUCACUGAUGAAUCUAAAAAAGACUUCAGAAUACAAUCUUAUCAAUGUCACUGUGAUUGGGUAAGACUGCUUUUAAACUAUCCCUGGGCAAAAGGUUGAUAACCCAUUCUUAAAUGUCUCCAAGGUGCUCUGUAGGAAUGCGAUAUAUCUUUCAUUCAAGGAUCAGCAACCCCUACAGGUAGGAAGUUCUUUCUGAUAUCUAACCUAAAUCUCUCCUACUGCAAUUUCAUGCCACUUCCUUUUCAUCCUUAAUGAAUUAGGAAAGGAGCUGGUAAUCACCGUCAGUCACUUAACUCUUAGAAUUUUCAUAUGUUUAACUUUACUAGAAUUUAUUUAUACCCAAACAUUGUCUCCUCCAUGACAUUUCAUCCCACUUAGCUAGUAUCUACUAUUUAACUCUUAAGAAAUAUUAUUUAGUCUUUUUAGUACAUUUUCUAGCUUCUAUAUAUAUUUCAUAAACUAUGGCAACCAAACUUAAUGAGUCUUUAAAACACCGUGAAUGAUGAAGUCUUUGUUAAUUUGGGGGUUGGCAUGUUACAAUCUAACGUAGAUUAGCUUUCAAAUUGCC
ensembl:lncRNA